CAGCACUCCAAUUCCAUUCCCAAAUUUCCUCCAUUAAAGCAACGCCUGCACCAAAUCUUCAACCAAUUAGCCAAUAGAAGGAGUUUCCGCCACCGUCUACCGAGGAAGCUCAUGAGAAGAUUAUUCAAAGUAGGCGACUCGUCGCAGUAGUGGCUGCUAAGAUCGGAGUCACUGCGGAAGCGCUCCUCCACCGGCGGCGUUCCGGAGGGGCACCUGCCGGUGUAUGUCGGCGACGAGAUGGAGCGAUUCGUGGUGAGCGCGGAGCCUGACGUCAAUAUUUCUCUUCCAAUUUUCAGGCCUUCAAGAGAGCUGCAGAAUCACUGGAGAAGCUAAUGGAUGCCACGAGGGAAGAGCUGCCGGACACCAUGGCUGCCGUUCGAUUAUCUGGGAUGGAUAUCAGCGACUUGACAAUGGAGCUCAGUGACAAUGGUUCCGAUUUGAAACUCUUCUGCUUCAGAUCUCGCGAGCUCGUGGAGGUGACAAAAUCGUCCAAGGAUCUGAGGCACAGUGUGCCGGCGGUGUUGGAGGUGGAGGUUAUCGACAUGUGUUGUAUGAUCAUAAUGCCAGAACUUGUGUCAAAUAAAAAAAUUAAGAUAAAAUAGUUGUUAUUUUUUAAUUUCAAGAAUUGUUUUUGAGUUGUUGACACUAUA